GCCCUCGUAGACCAACUGGCAGAGUCACAGGCCUCAAAAUCCUGGCAGUGUGGGUUCGAAUCCCACCGAGGGCACCA
rnacentral:tRNA from 1 species